GCGGCUGUAGUAUAGCCUGGCCAGUACGCGGGAUUGCCAAUUCUGUGACCCGGGUUCAAAUCCCGGCAGCCGCA
rnacentral:tRNA from 8 species